GAUUCUAGCAGACAUGACAGCCAGGGACCUGUGCCAAUUGCUGGUUUACAAAAGUCACUGUGUGGAUGACAACAGCUGGACACUAGUGGAGCACCACCCGCACCUAGGAUUAGAGAGGUGCUUGGAAGACCAUGAGCUGGUGGUCCAAGUGGAGAGUACCAUGGCCAGUGAGAGUAAAUUUCUAUUCAGGAA